rnacentral:rRNA from 1 species
CAGGCUAACACAUGCAAGUCGAGCGGUAACAGGAGGUAGCUUGCUACUUUGCUGACGAGCGGCGGACGGGUGAGCAAUACUUGGGUAUCUGCCCGAUAGUGGGGGACAACACGGGGAAACUCGUGCUAAUACCGCAUACGCCCUACGGGGGAAAGCAGGCUUAUGCUUGCGCUAUCGGAUGAGCCCAAGUCGGAUUAGCUAGUUGGUGAGAUAAAAGCUCACCAAGGCGACGAUCCGUAACUGGUCUGAGAGGAUGAUCAGUCACACCGGAACUGAGACACGGUCCGGACUCCUACGGGAGGCAGCAGUGGGGAAUAUUGGACAAUGGGGGGCAACCCUGAUCCAGCCAUGCCGCGUGUGUGAAGAAGGCCUUAGGGGUUGUAAAGCACUUUCAGUGAGGAGGAAAAGUUAAUGUUAAUACCCAUUAGCCCUGACGUUACUCACAAAAGGAGCACCGGCAAACUCCGUGCCAGCAGCGCGGUAAUACCGAGGGUGCGAGCGUU